AAAGCGCACGUAGGCGGCUUUGUAAGUAAGAGGUGAAAGCCUGGAGCUCAACUCCAGAACUGCCUUUUAGACUGCAUCGCUUGAAUCCAGGAGAGGUGAGUGGAAUUCCGAGUGUAGAGGUGAAAUUCGUAGAUAUUCGGAAGAACACCAGUGGCGAAGGCGGCUCACUGGACUGGUAUUGACGCUGAGGUGCGAAAGCGUGGGGAGCAAACAGGAUUAGAUACCCUAGU
rnacentral:rRNA from 1 species